rnacentral:rRNA from 1 species
CCUACGGGUGGCUGCAGUGAGGAAUAUUGGUCAAUGGGCGAGAGCCUGAACCAGCCAAGCCGCGUGAAGGAUGACGGCCCUACGGGUUGUAAACUCUUUUUUUCAGGGAGCAAUUGGGUCCACGCGUGGGCUUAGCUAGGGUACCUGAAGUAAAAGCAUCGGCUAACUACGUGCCAGCAGCCGCGGUAAUACGGAGGAUGCGAGCGUUAUCCGGAUUUAUUGGGUGUAAAGGGUGAGUAGGGGGAAGAGCAAGUCAGCGGUAAAAAUUCGGGGCUCAACCCCGUCGUGCCGUUGAAACUGAUGGUCUUGAGUGGGCUAGAGGUAUGCGGAAUGAGUGGUGUAGCGGUGAAAUGCAUAGAUAUCACGCAGAACUCCGAUUGCGAAGGCAGCAUACCGGCGCCCAACUGACGCUGAAGCACGAAAGCGUGGGUAUCGAACAGGAUUAGAUACCCGAGUAGUC